CAGAAAAUAGUUUAUUUUAAAAUUUAAAGUUUGGAACUUUAAGAUGUUUAUUACUUUUUUGA
rnacentral:tRNA from 1 species